rnacentral:rRNA from 1 species
AGUAAUGCCUAGGAAUCUGCCUGGUAGUGGGGGACGAACGUUUCGAAAGGAACGCUAAUACCGCAUACGUCCUACGGGAGAAAGCAGGGACCUUCGGGCCUUGCGCUAUCAGAUGAGCCUAGGUCGGAUUAGCUAGUUGGUGAGGUAAUGGCUCACCAAGGCGACGAUCCGUAACUGGUCUGAGAGGAUGAUCAGUCACACUGGAACUGAGACACGGUCCAGACUCCUACGGGAGGCAGCAGUU